CGUGAACUAGAGUCCCAAGAGACAAGCAGGACAGAUGGCCCUCGAGUACCAUGCAGAAUUGUCAAUUGUGGGGAGCUGCCUAUAGAAGGCUAAUAUCUGAUCCGUUUAACCACUACCACAAAUCUCCCAUUUUAUCAUUUACUUUCUCUGCUUCAAGAUGAUUUUACCUGGUAAUACGGACAACAGUCGGCGUUUAUUAUAGAAGAGAGAAUUUUGGAUGAUACUUUGUAAGCUCUUGGCAGGGGUGUGCUAUUAUCCUUAUCAUUUUUUACGGUGUAAGUUUGCAGAUUCCAUCAAA
rnacentral:lncRNA from 1 species